GCAGGUCAUUGUGCUGACUCGACUCAUACAAACCCCCAUCUGGACGCAGUCCAAACACCAGAUGUGCCCCCGAUUAGUGUCGGUCUGGGGAAUGUUUCCAUGACUGAAAGGCUGAAUGACAAGAGUGUGAUUUUCCACUUGGAAGAGACUCCAGGGGUGUGCAAAGAGGGAAGCCCUGCUGACCCAAUUCAGUAGACUGUGACACUUUAGCGACCUGCAAAUUCUACACAUUAGAGUUCAUAUUUUAUACAAAUUCUGUAUAAGCGAGAUGUGGACUUGCAUUUCCACCAGCAGUAUCCAACUUCCAGAGGCCCUGUCAGAAGAUGAAAGCUACUAAUGAAGACACAUCACAGGUGGUAUUUAUGGUCACCCCUUAGGGGAAAAAAGAUUCAUGAAUAAUUUCAUGGAAAUUAGAACAAAAAACCGAGCCAUAAUUUCCUCAA